rnacentral:rRNA from 1 species
AGAACGAACGCUGGCGGCAUGCCUAAUACAUGCAAGUCGAACGAACACUUCGGUGUUAGUGGCGCACGGGUGCGUAACGCGUGGGAAUCUGCCCUUGGGUUCGGAAUAACUUCGGGAAACUGAAGCUAAUACCGGAUGAUGACGUAAGUCCAAAGAUUUAUCGCCCAAGGAUGAGCCCGCGUAGGAUUAGCUAGUUGGUGGGGUAAAGGCCUACCAAGGCGACGAUCCUUAGCUGGUCUGAGAGGAUGAUCAGCCACACUGGGACUGAGACACGGCCCAGACUCCUACGGGAGGCAGCAGUAGGGAAUAUUGGACAAUGGGCGAAAGCCUGAUCCAGCAAUGCCGCGUGAGUGAUGAAGGCCUUAGGGUUGUAAAGCUUCUUUACCCGAGAUGAUAAUGACAGUAGUCGGGAGAAUAAGCUCCGGACUAACUCCGUCGCCAGCGACGCCGGAC